GGAAACUAAAUACAGUCUGGGCUUAAUGUUGUUAUGUUAUUUGAUAUCACUGAAUGAAUAUUCAAAAUAACUGCGGCACAAUUACGACAGCGGUGCACCACUCCAAAACUGUAGGGGCGCCAAAUUGCACAAACAUCAUUUCUGGCUUCGAGGCUUGCCAGCUGUCGAAUCAUCCCGCCAUCCAGUCAACCAGUCAGUCACCUGCAGAACUACCCAGCAAGCCAGUGCACCACGACCAUAGACUGUAUACGUAAUGGACGUAGCCAUUAUGACUUCACCCACUGGUUUGUGGACUCCUAUUCUGAAGCCUUCAGUUUGCCAUUCUGGUCGUCGCCAUCUUGGUUUUCUGGAGCAAGAAGUGACCAUGAAUGAAAGGCUGUCAUUUUCGGCAGAAUCAUCACACCCUCCUCUAUCUCAUUCACCUCCAGUCACCUCAUCCAGACCCCAGAAUGAGCUCAUCCAAAGUCCACUCCUCUUUGCAUCCAGAUCCUCAGCUUCCUCUUCAUCUCAUCUCAUCAUCACCACCAGCAUCUAGAUUCUGCAACGUCUUUACCACCCUCCUGGAACAGAUGACAUCACGAUGGGGUCUAAAUGCCAAUGAUUCUUCACAUUUCUCAAACCUGUGUGCACAUGUAAAUAAAUAUUCU